CCGUGUUGUAUGUCUGGAAUUGGAAAACUAAAAUUCUGUUGCGGUGUGCUUGAGUUGUAACACCACCUACGGCUCUGCGUCGAUCACUCCGUCGUUGUUGUAAUGAGUGAUUUAUUUUGUGGAAAACAUUCACACUGUGAAGCACUGAAAUGAUCUGCUAUUACUAAAAACUCAUCAGAAGAUGACCCUAUAAAGUUGAGUCACUUUAGGUAGGUACUAGAUAUUUGUCACAACAAGUUAUCAAUGCUGUUAAAAUUAUAAAUAAUGUUGGAAUCUAUGUAUUGGUUGUAC